GGGAGGGUGGCCGAGUUGGUUAUGGCGCCAGGUUAAGGUCAGCUUAACACACGGUUCUGUUUCCUGGUGGGGCAACCCGCGCGAGUUCGAGUCUCGUCCCUCUCA
rnacentral:tRNA from 1 species